rnacentral:tRNA from 1 species
UCUAAGGAUGAAUGAAAGUAAAAUUUCAUUCUAAAUAAUAUACAUCGGUAAUGUUGACCGUCCUCAUUUCUCUUCUUAAAGUAAUGUUUCCUUCUUGUAGGGCCGGUAGCUCAGUUGGUUAGAGCACACCCUUGAUAAGGGUGGGGUCGAAAGUUCGAGUCUUUCUCGGCCCACCACACUUAACUGGGGGAUUAGCUCAGCUGGGAGAGCGCCUGAUUUGCAUUCAGGAGGUCAGCGGUUCGAUCCCGCUAUCCUCCACCAGGAAACAUUUAGUUAUAAAAACUGUAAAUAAAUUUAAUAAUUAAUAUCAAUAUCUAUAUCCGAACAUUAGUAAUGUUAUUAGCUAAUGUUCAAAAUAAAAAUUUGAUCACAACAUAGAUAAUUUUUCUUUUAAAAAAGAAUUUUUUUCUGUGCAUAAAU